GCCCCAGUAGCUCAAAGGAUAGAGCGAUGCACUCCUAAGGCAGAGGUUGCGCGUUCAAUUCGCGCCUGGGGCA
rnacentral:tRNA from 1 species